GGUUUUAACCCAGUAUCUCAAGGUACUAAGGGCGUCCGACCUUCCUUCCACCUGUGGUUGCGUCGAAAACCUCAAUUUUUGGAGCGCCUUCCCGGGGUAUCCGAGAAGGCAA
rnacentral:sRNA from 1 species